GACGAACGCUGGCGGCGUGCUUAACACAUGCAAGUCGAACGGAAAGGCCCUGCUUUUGUGGGGUGCUCGAGUGGCGAACGGGGGAGUAACACGUGAGUAACCUGCCCUUGACUUUGGGAUAACUUCAGGAAACUGGGGCUAAUACCGGAUAGGAGCUCCUGCUGCAUGGUGGGGGGUGGAAAGUUUCGGCGGUUGGGGAUGGACUCGCGGCUUAUCAGCUUGUUGGUGGGGUAGUGGCUUACCAAGGCUUUGACGGGUAGACGGCCUGAGAGGGUGACCGGCCACGUUGCGACUGAGAUACGGCCCAGACUCCUACGGGAGGCAGCAGUGGGGAAUAUUACACAAUGGGCGGAAGCCUGAUGCAGCAACGCCGCGUGCGGGAUGACGGCCUUCGGUUUGUAUACCGCUUUCGCCUGUGACGAAGCGUGAGUGACGGUAAUGGGUAAAGAAGCACCGGCUAACUACGUG
rnacentral:rRNA from 1 species